rnacentral:rRNA from 1 species
AGCGAAAUUCCUUGUCGGGUAAGUUCCGACUGCAUGAAUGGCGUAACGACUGGGGCACUGUCUCGGCGGGGGGCCCGGCGAAAUU